rnacentral:lncRNA from 1 species
CAUAAACCCGAGUAGGUGCAUUAUGGCAUAUGGGAGUAAAGAGGACUUGAUACUUAAUGUUAUGGUUGGGUUUCACGACCUUAAUGAUCUUUAGUGGUUGUGGAUGGUUGCAAGAGUUCCAAUCAUAAGUGAUACAAGUAGAUAAAUCAUGUUAGCUCUACUUUUGUUGUUCUUUUAUUAAAACAAUACCUAAGUUUUAUUUCCACGUUCUUUAUUAU